CCCACACCAGCUGCUGAUAUGGGCAUGUUGGUGCAAAAAGCUUGAGCAAGUUUAUCAUCUACCUUUGACACAACUUGUAUGAGCUCAUAUGCCUUUUUUCGAACACCAAUGACAACCUUUUCUCUAUAAUUAAUAAGAAACAAUUCUGUAAUUUCAAGAGUAGGCCUUUAAUUGCAGGAAGUCCCUUAAAAUCAUCUUCCAAGCCUAUCGGAACUUGGAUUACAGCAGCACUAUAUAUGAUGUCAAGUUGGACUACUAAUAAAAUCAACAAUUUUGGAUUUAGAGUAUUUAAAUAGGGUUAGAUAGAUUUUUAGUCGCACAUCAUAGUUUGAAUAUAUAUAUAUACUGGUGGGUGGAGGAUGUUUGAGUUCAAAACUCAACAUCCCUGCUUCAAAUAUCAAAUUUGAUAAUGUAUUAUUAUUAUUACCUGAUAAUCUUUCCGGUUCAAGGAAAUGAUAGUAGGCUGGGCAAGAGCAUACAAGAAUCAUUCAUUGGUCUCUUUAUUUUCUUUUUUGAAAUUAAAGGACCGUUGGUGUCUGUCUUUAUUAUUUAUUAGUUUGGGUUGCAUGCAUGGUUAUACUUUCAAACAUGUUCCUAAUCCUCUUAGGCCUACUCGGAUUCUUGUAGUAGAUUGGGGACAGACAUCCGAAUAUAUAUUAGGAAUCUGCGUGCUGUCUGUGUAUAAGUUGGUCUCAUCAACGAUCUAACUAUCCUUAACACUCCCUCUCUCACACUAUCUUCAUCACUGUUUCUUCUUUCUUCGCUUCCAAAACCUAAUCAAUCUUCUUCCCAAAGCUGCUAGCGAAGAAGCCUCAUCAUUAUCGUCCUGGAACCGUUGCUCUUCGUGAGAGAUCUGUAAGUAUCAGAAGAGUACCAAACUUUUGAUCCGUAAGCUUCCCUUCCAGAGUCAUGCUGUUCUUGCAGUACUUCAGGAAGCAGCUGAGGCUUAUCUCGUGGGAUUGUUUGAGGAUACCAAUUUGUGUGCUAUUCAUGCUAAGAGGGUGACGAUUAUGCCCAAGGAUAUUCAGCUGUAUCCGUGGUGAACGUGCUUAGGGUUAUGAAUUUGAUGGUUUAGUAGUAUUUUGGAAUGAUUUAGGGUUUAUGAAUUCAAGUUUCUUUAAUGCGUUUUUGUAGAAGAUUUUACCCUAUACCCCUACAAACCCCUAAGUAUGUAUGCCCCUAAGAGAAGGGUGACAAACCCUAGAAACUACUUCUAAUUUUCCAAAUUGGUGUUGAACUUUGAAUUUAAGUUUUGAAUUUUCUGCUUUUUGUUUAUCUCUGGAUUAAAACACUUUCUCAAAUUUGUUUCGAUUAUA
rnacentral:lncRNA from 1 species